ACCGUAGGCGGGGGGGCCCUACGGGAGGCAGCAGUGGGGAAUAUUGGGCAAUGGAGGAAACUCUGACCCAGCGACGCCGCGUGCGGGAUGAAGGCAUUCGGGUUGUAAACCGAUUUCAGCAGGGAAGAAGCGAAAGUGACGU
rnacentral:rRNA from 1 species